rnacentral:misc_RNA from 1 species
CAAGCUCUCAACCGCAACCAAUUCUUGGCUGUGGCUUGGAUGUGGGGGGAUUUCUUUUUGCAGGCCUGAAUUUUUAAAUGAUGGUCUGCUCCCCUGAAACGCAUUAGUGGUUUUUUACUUACUACUGUUGGGUGUGAUAAAUUAUCUAUGCCCCUCAGGUGAUGCUGUGCAAAAAAACCGCUUCCAACAAUUUAUUAUAUCAUGAUGA